GUUUGGAUUGCAGUCUCAGUUUGCAAUAAGAUCGCAGCUGCCAGGAGUCCACAUGCCACCUUUGUCUACAUUGGAAACAGGAGUCUCCUCUUAGGCAGCUGCAGCCACAGCAGCCUUUGUCAAGAUAACUCUCUUGCUACACAGUUUGGCCAGUGACGACUCCCAGCUCUUGCUAUUCUUCAGUGUCUUUGAGAAGCACAUGGGCUGUCCCAUGGUACAGCGCAACCCUGACUGAACCUCUCCUUCAAAGCCACAGCACGCUCAGCUAAGCCAAUCAGGCUAUCCCCCACCCCCGUUUUUUCGCUUUGGAAUAUGUUUGUUGGCUCUGCCAGUGUGGCGUGUAAGAAAGAACCGAUUAGUCUCCAGGUUCCUUGCUCCCCAGAAUGCCCUUAAGCCCGCUUCCCUCUACCGCUUCUGUUGGAGGCUUUGACUUCAGAGAUUCCGACUUCACAUUACUCACUAACCCACACCUUAAAUGAUUAUGCUUCUAGAUCCCAUCACAGGGUUAUUAUGUGAUUUGUUCCAGCCCUUCUUCCUAAUCAAACCUUAUUCCUUCCUCUGAAGAGACCAGAAGGACAAGCCAACAGCCAAGUCCCCGCAACUUCCCAGGUUCCGGUUAACCUUGGUUGCUGAGUUUCGGUGCAGCGCAGGACUGGAAGGCUCUCCCAGAUCACCCCUGCCAAGGCUGCUUCUCCACUUCUUGUCUAUCAUUGGGGAGACAUACAAACAUGCUUGUCUCCCCAGUGUUCCUGAAUUAUUCUCUUUAUAGCUGGUUAAGGUCAAGGCUAGGAGAACAAUGGCCCCAAUUAGAAGAAACACCACAAACAAACUUUUGAGGGUCAGCUGUCCUGGGCUUCUGUGGAUGGGCUCCGUGUUAGCUGUACACUAUCUCCUGGGAAGAGGGCUUCCAUCAAGGACAGUCAAUUCUGUCUUCUCCAAAUAGCAGAUUAAGAGGAGCAACAAAGUAGCCUUCGGGGAUGACUGCACUAGUAAUGUGGAUGGCUGCCACUACAAAGCAGGGAGAUCCAUCAAUUGGAGGAUUCUUCCAGUUUUAAACGUCCAAGACUGAAAUAACAGUGAUUUUCCAUUUAUGUUUGAACCAGAUUUAAGGAUUUUUUUUUUAAUUUAAGGAGUUUUUGCAGGUAGAUAAAAAAACCACUUGAGAAAAUAAUCUACCACUGUCAAAUGGUGGUGGGGCCCAGAUCACCUAAGUGCCCCCAAUUCAGCAACUUCUUGGUGCCCAUUCUAUGAAACUCAUAUGAUCAUAGGCAGGAAUAAUCUUUAUUAAUUAUACUAACUUAUCUUCUGAGUCAGAGUCUUUCACUGAACCUAGAACUGGCUGGCUAGGGAGUCCUGGGGAAGCCCCUCUCUCUGCCUCCACAGCGUGGGAACCACAGGCAUGAGCUCCUACCUGUGCCUGGCUUUAGAAAGUAUUAUUGUCAUCAUCAUCAUCAUCAUCAUCAUAUUAUUAUUAUUAUUAUUAUUACUGAGAUUAUAAUAUAAUAACAUCAUUUCUCUUUUAUACUUAAACCCUCCUAUAUAUUACUCCUCUCUUUCAAAUUCAUGGCCCCCACUUUUUAUUAACUGUUGUUAAUACACACAUGCACACAUGCACGCACACGCACAUACACACAUAUACACACACUCCUAAAUAUUGCCUGUUUGGUCUAGAUAAUAUUAUUUGUAUGUAUAUUUUCAAGAGUGACCAGUUGGCAAUGUUUAAGCACUGGUGUGCUCUUCCCUAUGGAAGACUACCUCUCGAUGUCAGUGUUCCCUAGCUGGUUGCAGCUCUAUGUGUACGACUGAGGCCUUGCAGGCUUUCUUACAUCUAUUGUUGUCCUUAUUCAACCCAUGUUCAGGCAGUCAUGUUGGUGUGACUUUAUGGGCAUGGCUUCUGACAUUACUAGGAGAUACAGUCUCACAGCUCUUAGAAUCUCCCUGAGUCCUACCAUCCUUCUGCUCCUCUCCCACAGUAUCCUGAAGCCUUAGGUGCAGUGGGACGCUCUAUAAAUGUAUUCGUCGGGACUGGCUCUUCCUUUUGAUUGGUUGUGGUUUUCUGUAAUGGUUUCUAUCUGUUUCAGAGAGAAAUCUCCUGGAUAAGAGAGGUGAGAACUACUCUUAUAUGUGGGUAUAAGGACAACUGUUUAGAACGUAGUUAGGGCUUAUGUUGGUUUAGCUAAGUGGUGAUUGUAGGUCGCCUCCAAGAUCCAUGACUUCACUAGCCCUGGGUAGUUGCCUAGAUUACUGGACCUCUUGAGUGCGGUUUAAAACCAAUCAGAGAGUUGGUGGUUAUCACCGAGGUAUGCAUGCCACUAGUGCAGCUUUAGUGUAAUGGUUAUUGCUGUGGUUCCUAAGCAUCAUUGCUGAAGCUUGCAUAGGACAGUCCUCAGGGAGGAGUCAUUCAGGUCAGUUCCAGCUCAGGGGCCUCUGGGCCUUGUGUCUGAAGUACAUGUUUUUGUCGUUUGCUGUUUCAUUUUCCCCAAGUGCUGGGAGUUGAACUCCUCUCCUCACUUGAGCCUAUCGUCUCUACAGUCCUCUACAGACACACCUUAAAGACAAUGGUGGGUGAGGAGCAGAGGUUGCAAAGGAAGAAGAAUAGAUUGGUUCCUGUAGAAGUCAAGGGGGCCAGAUGGAUCAGGAUGGUGUAUGCCUGGCAGUGGUCAAAAACUGCAGUCUGUUGGAGCUGGAGAUCACGGUAAGAUGACUGUCCCUGUUCCAUUGAGUCUCAUCUCCUUCCAGCAGCUCAUUUUCUUCUUCCUCACAAGGCAGUCUUUUCCCAGGUAGCUUUCCAAGGAUGUGGGAGUAAAAAAUUAGGAUGUCUGAAGGGUUAGGCUUGAAGGCCACAUAGUGUCACCUCUGCCACCAUCUCUUAGCCGAAGUAAGUCACAGGGAUCUUCCAGGUUUGAGAGAUGAAGAGACAGUCUUCACCUCAUGAGGGUUGAGCCUUCUUUGCAAUGAAUUGCAUUGCAAAGAAAUGAAGACGUGGGACUGGGAAAAGGUGUAGCUGUUUUGAUUUUGUAUUCCGCCUCAAUGUGCAAACAUGACUGCUAAUCUUCCACUUCACCAUUUGCUCAGUCCUUGGUCUUCCUUCUCUAAACCAGUGAGAAUUUGAGCUUUCUGGUGGUUCAAGUGAAAACCUUGGAUUUUCUUGACUUUUUCCCCCUCACAUGCCACAUCCUAGACAUUAAGAGGUGACAUUGCUACCAGAUAGAGAUACAUGUAAUAUUUUUUUUCUUAUUCCUCUUCCCACCCGUGUUGAUUGAGGCCUAGUGUGAGCCACCAUCAAUUCUCAAGUGGAUAUGUGGGUGGCUUCCUAAUUGUUCUAUUUAUUUCUGCUUUUACAACGAUCCCUGAAAGAACACAGUUAGGCCACUUGUGAUGAACUGAAUAAUGGUAGCCUAAAUUGAGCCCCUUACAAAGAUGCCUAAAUCCUGAUGUUUACAAUCAACAAAUGUGUCACUUACAUGACAAAUGGACUUCGUGUAUAUAAUUCAAGACCAUUGUCCUCAUAGAUCAUGAGACAAAGAAGGAGGCUUUAGAAGGAAGAGAAGGCCAGGAAAU
rnacentral:lncRNA from 1 species